UGUAAAAUUACUAAUCUAAAAAUAUAUUAAGUAUAUGCCUCGUCUACAAUUUUUUCUCAAAAACCCUAGCAGUCUUCCUCUUUUCUUAGACCCAAAAGACUGAUGCCGUUGUCUCGUAUUCACGACAUUGUUGAGGUUCUCCCAAAAUUGCAACAGUCUAUAUGAAUUUUCUGCCAUUUUCUUUGGACUCGCUUCAUAUGCCUUUCCAGCACUCGAUCUAUUUCUCGAACCUUAAGAGUCGCCCUCGAUUUGGGGAUAAGUAAAUCUCAGUGUGACGUCCAGAAUUGAAAGGGGAGACAACUAGUUUAUCCUUACAUCGUUUAUAGAACUCUAAGCAUGACAAAUACUACUGAUAAUUCUCAAAUAUUUUAUCUUAGAUUUCCGUUCUAUUAUGUUAAUUGGAUUGAAUUUUCUGCCUUUAAAAUGGUGGUGACCUUUUCCUUUAUUAUGAUGUAUUGAAAUUUGUUAUGCUUGCUGAUGAUUUGUUUGGGAAGUGGUAGAUAGGAUUUAUUUAUGAAAUUAAUAGUUCUCUGUUUACGUUCAAGGUACAUGGCUAUUGUGGAGUGCUGAAAUUGAUCAUUUUGGGGGCUAGUCAAGGGGAUCAUCUUCAACUGGGAUAAGUGCUCAAAAUGAGUUCCAUUAGGAGCAUACUCAAGGUCCGUCAUCCUUGUCAAAGGAUAGUCUCUUCACAAUAUCAGUGAGAUCAAGAAAAUUCUUGUGGUUCACAAGGUCGAUAUGCAAAAAUUAGAGGCAAGAAGUGAAUAGUAUUGAGCAAAGGGUGUUCCCGUAGAGGUUCCAGUUGCCUCUAUAGUAUGCAGUACCUAUUGAACUGUUGUGAAUCAAUAUUCUUGUAGUCAGUAUUGGAGUUUAUUUUUAGUUAGCAUUCAGUUUGUUCUGAAGAUGUACAAGUAGAAUAAUUUAUAUUUUUUGAGAACCAUUAUUAAAUGGUGUUGUAAGAUUUAUAAAAAAUAAUGUAUAACUGACUAUUUUCUUUCAAUAUAAUUUUUUUGUGUAGUG